rnacentral:snRNA from 1 species
AUAUUUACCUGGCAGCGGAGAUACCCUGAUCACUAAGGUGGUUCUCCAGAUUGAGGCUCAUCCAUUGCAAUCCAGAUGUGCUGAACCUUGUGAAUUCCCCAGAUGCAUAAUUUGUGGUAGUGGAGGACUGCAUUCAUACUCUCCCCUG